AACCUUUAUUUUGGGAAUGUGGGGAGAGAACGAACACCCCUGACCCCCUGGGGCGUGGCAUCUCCACCCCGAGGCAGGCGAUCUCUCUGUGGAACACGUGGAGUGAGGCACAUAAGUAGCCUCAGCUUGGGGUGGAACCCAAGGGGGCAUUAGGGAUGCACAGGUAGCCCAUUGGUCUUAGUUUGGCGCAGGAGGCAAUUCCUAAGGGUGGGGGAGAUAGGAGCUUCCUGGUUUUACCGGCUACAGUAUCCGGCCUGGGCCAGCAACCCUUUCAGGGUGCAUCCCUGGGUCCCUGGCUUCUGGCCAGGGGACAUUUGUCUCAGAUGCAGCUGUUACCUAACUGCAGUGGAGCAGAGGUGGGGUCCCUGUGAGCUCAGCAGCUGGGGCUGCCAGCACCAUCAGAGGAAGGAAAAGCACGGGGAAUCUCAGGCGCUGCUGCAGGCCUAGGGAACCACAGGGGCCUCUGCGGGAGCCUUGGUUUUCAUUAUGAGCUGCUGGCUGGCUGCUGCUGUGCAAAUUAACCAGAGCCAGCCAGGGCUGUGUUGCAGAUCAUUUACACAGGAGAGUGAGUGAUUGGGAGCGAAGCAGAAAGUGCAGCAUUGGUGGGAGCUGGGAGAGCAGCCUGGGUAAAAAGGCAGGAUCCCAGGCCGGCUCCACGGGAAACACUGGCGUCCAAACAGGACAGAGCUGGGGAUACCACACCCUGAUCCGGGAACUCGGAAGGUGUUCUGAAGUGCCAGCCCUGCCAGGCUUAAAACUCUGGCCUCGUCUACUGCUGAGCUGUUUGCAACCUUGAGUGUAUAUUCGUUUUCCCAUCUCUUAAAUGGGAGUAAAUGGAACAGCAAUGUAUUUGGUGGGUACCAUUAUGAGAAUUGAAUAAAAUGAGUCAUUGUUUUUAAAGUGUUAAUAGUGCCCGGCACAUGCUCAAUGCUACUUAUUUUCAGAGCUAGAUGAGUAAAAUUCUGCUGGUGAUAGGCUUCUGCCCUAGGAAACGGACAGAGCUGCCUUUUAUCUUGCUUAGAAGCUUCUCUCAAAAGAUGGGUGGUCAGACGCUGGGCGGCUCUGAUGACAAAGGUCUAUACAAAGAUUUGAGGCUUUCAGAAAGGAAAAAGAAAGUAUAAUUUUUAAAAACUGAGUUGGUAAAUGUAAGCUGAAAGAAAGAUCUGAAUGAAAGCAUGAAGAGGAAUCAGCUGUCUUUAAAUAUUAAGGUAUGUUGAUUAGUACCGCAGCUAAUUCCUUGUUUUGCCAUAUGCUUAUUUUACAGGAGCCUGAGCAUUUCCUGUUACUCUAGGAAGCUCCCAUUACCUGUCCUCCAGUGCUGCCUCUCACUCUGAAACGGCUCCCUGAAUCUCAUAGCUGCUUUCCUGUUUCAGAGCUGUGUCUGUCCUCUUGAAUUACUGCAUGAGUCUUCUGAUUUCUUCCGGUCCUUCUUUGGUCCGUUUUCAACUUGGACCACAUCAUUACCUUGCUUAAGGUCAAUGCUGUGGACUAACGCUCAGGAUAAAUCGCAGAUGUCUUCCUGCCACUCAGAGCGAGAGUAACACACCGUUCCUUCCUCCCCGAGUUACUGGACUGAAGCUGCAUCUGCCUGCUUUCUGCAUCUUGAACUCCAGAGCCUUCAUUUUGCUUUGAUUUGCUUUUUCCUCUGCCUGGAGCAUUGUUUCCUGUUCCCUACUGCUGCUGCAAGUAGACAGUUGUUGCUUCUUUUAGUGCCACAUCUUGGAUCAGAAGCAACAACUCCCCGAGUUACUGGACUGAAGCCUCUGGUGGUUCACGCUACCUUUGCAUUAUUUAUUCCUCAUUGGCUUGAUUCUAUUACUCAGCUAUUUUCUCUUUUUGGAAUUCUUAUUCAUUGAUUGGUUGGUUUGUCCCUGCCCACACCAUGCUAAGCUCCAUAAGACUGUGUCUUAUUAUUCCUAAGUCCUGCUCCCUGACCCAAAAUUCUGUCUGGCACAAUAUUUACCAAAUGGUACAGAAUAAGUACCAACAAUGCAGAAUGUUUGACCAAUCAGAAAUGAUAUCAGCCAUUUGACUCUAAAAUAUAAAAGCUUCUAAUGAGUACAUGUUGAUAUACCUGUUUUACAAAUGGAAAAAACAAUUCUUGUGAUUGUUCAGUGUCCUAUUGCUGCUUACUAAUAAAACAAGGUCAGGCAUUUAAUAUAUUAUUUUCCUGAAUAAACCUUUUGCACACUAAACAGGUGCAGUAACAAAGGCUAAGUUUUUCUAAAAUAUGAAUGUGAACAAGCAGCCCUGCCUGUGUGACUUGCCCCCACUCGACUUCCUAGUGUUAACUGUAAAAUGAUUUUAACAGUAGAAUUCACGAGUUUGAACAUACUUUUUAGCUUAAGAAACUUGUUUAUGGGGAUUGCUGGUGUGGAAAUUCAUUCUGUAUGUGGUUUGAAUUUUGCAAAGUUUGUAUUUUCUUAGCAAUUUUGCGAGAGAGACCGAGGUGACAUCUACUUAGUUGCUGGCGGCUGCAGGUUUUAGGAAUAUGGAGGAGCAGGUCUCUGUCACCCUCUACCCUUCCAGGGUUCUGCGUAGGUUGAAAGGGUCCAUUAUAAAGAGGAUCAUGGGGGCUGGGGAUUUAGCUCAGCGGUAUAAGCGCCUGCCUUGCAAGCAGGCAGUCGAGAGUUUGAUCCCUGGUACCGAUAAAAACGAUAAAGACAAGAAAAAAAAAGGAUCAUGGUGGAGGAGACUCUACUCUUGGGAUGGUGGGACAGAAAAGGGGAUGUAAAUACAAGGACAGCGAGGUUAGACUGGAAGGUGAGAAUUAAAGGCAGAAGAAAUUUGAUUGGUUGAUAAGCACAUUACCCUUCAUGGGGACUGUUUUGUUUCUGAAGAUGUCAUUACUCUAGGGGUCUCUAAACCCCAGCAGUAAGUAUGUUUCCUGCUGAUUCCCACCUCCACAACAGUGUCCUGUCCUAACCUUCAUGGGAAGGUCAGCAGCACAAAGCCUUUGAUGGAUCCCUUCUCAGAGAGCCAGGACUUGAUACACACCAGAAAUACAUCACAGCAUUACUUGAAGGUGGUGGCAUGUCCUGAGGAACAGUUCGUUUCCUUAUUAUGCAAACAUUAUGAUGUGUGGUUACAUAAAGCUGCAUGGCAUAGCCUGCUGCAUGCCUAGGUAAUACAUACCUGGGCCUCAUGCAUGCACAGCAAGGUACUGCCCUGAAUAUCAUAGCACCAACAGUACUGUAAUCAUAAGUAUGGGUUGCUGGGUGUGGUGGCAUAUGCCUGUAAUUUCAGUUUUCUGGGAGGCCAAGGCAGGAGGAUCACAAGUUUAAAUCCACCCUGCAUAACUUAGCAACUUAGCAAGACCAUGUUUCAAAAUAUAAUAAAAGGGCUUAGGAUGUAUCUCAGUACAAAGACCGUGGGUUCAAUCCCCUGUGCUGCUACCAAAACAAAAGCAAAACAAAGUGUGUAUUUAAACAUAUCUCAACAUAGAAAUGUACAGGCAAAAUACUAAGUGAAUAGCCACUGUAAUCUUACAGUACCACCAUCAUGCAUGUAGUCUGUUCUUGACUAAAUCAUUGUAUAUACAGAGAUCAAGAGGAACAGUGUGUUUAAACUCUGGAGGCCUCAAUUCAUUUUCUGUGUGUGAAUGGAGGCUGAGACCUGUUACAGGACCCCAGACGAAGACAUUCUCCUUAAACCCAGGGUCUUCCCUGUAAAGUGAAAUGUUUGGAUCAGCUAACUUGUCUGUCUGUUCAGAUCUUUCAGUGGAUGUUAUGCCAGUGCUUCCCAAAGAGCCCAGAACCAGCAGCAUCAGCGUUGGUGCUUCCAGGGACCUUGCUGAAAAUGCCAAGCUGCAGCUCCACCAUGGCUCCGGAUUGGAGUGAAACCAUUCAUCUGCAUAAUGCAGAGCCCUCCAGGAGCUGCCUGUGUCUGCCCAAGUUGGAGACUCUUCUUUCUAGUGGUGGCCUGGAGCUCGACAGGCCACCCCAGGCUCCACAGCCCAGCUCUCCACAGACACCCCCCAGGCACUGGGGACAGAUUUGUCAUGGGGAAACUAUUUCUUGACAUCGAACAGUUUCUCACCUUGGCGAAGGGACUUCAGAGUCUGCGUGAGAUUUUUGUCUUCCACUGCUGUGAGCUGCUGCCCCUCUACCACACCACCCUGCCUUGGAGCCAGCUGAUUAUGGGCUGAAACCUCUGCAAACUGAGCUCAAUAAACCCUACCUUCCUUAA